rnacentral:rRNA from 1 species
UUAGAGUUUGAUCCUGGCUCAGGACCCUUGCUGGCGGCGCGCCUAACACAUGCAAGUCGAACGGAGUCAAGAGGAGCUUGCUUUUCUUGACUUAGUGGCGAACGGGUGAGUAACGCGUGAGUAACCUGCCCUGGAGUGGGGGACAACAGUUGGAAACGACUGCUAAUACCGCAUAAGCCCACGGAUCCGCAUGGAUCUGCGGGAAAAGGAUUUAUUCGCUUCAGGAUGGACUCGCGUCCAAUUAGCUAGUUGGUGAGGUAACGGCCCACCAAGGCGACGAUUGGUAGCCGGACUGAGAGGUUGAACGGCCACAUUGGGACUGAGACACGGCCCAGACUCCUACGGGAGGCAGCAGUGGGGGAUAUUGCACAAUGGGGGAAACCCUGAUGCAGCGACGCCGCGUGGAGGAAGAAGGUUUUCGGAUUGUAAACUCCUGUCGUUAGGGACGAUAAUGACGGUACCUAACAAGAAAGCACCGGCUAACUACGUGCCAGCAGCCGCGGUAAAACGUAGGGUGCAAGCGUUGUCCGGAAUUACUGGGUGUAAAGGGAGCGCAGGCGGACCGGCAAGUUGGAAGUGAAAACUAUGGGCUCAACCCAUAAAUUGCUUUCAAAACUGCUGGCCUUGAGUAGUGCAGAGGUAGGUGGAAUUCCCGGUGUAGCGGUGGAAUGCGUAGAUAUCGGGAGGAACACCAGUGGCGAAGGCGACCUACUGGGCACCAACUGACGCUGAGGCUCGAAAGCAUGGGUAGCAAACAGGAUUAGAUACCCUGGUAGUCCAUGCCGUAAACGAUGAUUACUAGGUGUGGGGGGAUUGACCCCUUCAGUGCCGCAGUUAACACAAUAAGUAAUCCACCUGGGGAGUACGACCGCAAGGUUGAAACUCAAAGGAAUUGACGGGGGCCCGCACAAGCAGUGGAGUAUGUGGUUUAAUUCGAAGCAACGCGAAGAACCUUACCAGGUCUUGACAUCCGAUGCAUAGUGCAGAGAUGCAUGAAGUCCUUCGGGACAUCGAGACAGGUGGUGCAUGGUUGUCGUCAGCUCGUGUCGUGAGAUGUUGGGUUAAGUCCCGCAACGAGCGCAACCCUUAUUGCCAGUUACUACGAAAGAGGACUCUGGCGAGACUGCCGUUGACAAAACGGAGGAAGGUGGGGAUGACGUCAAAUCAUCAUGCCCUUAUGACCUGGGCUACACACGUACUACAAUGGCGUUUAACAAAGAGAAGCAAGACCGCGAGGUGGAGCAAAACUCAAAAACAACGUCUCAGUUCAGAUUGCAGGCUGCAACUCGCCUGCAUGAAGUCGGAAUUGCUAGUAAUCGCGGAUCAGCAUGCCGCGGUGAAUACGUUCCCGGGCCUUGCACUCACCGCCCGUCA